UACGAAGGGGGCUAGCGUUGCUCGGAAUCACUGGGCGUAAAGCGCACGUAGGCGGACUCUUAAGUCGGUGGUGAAAUCCUGGAGCUCAACUCCAGAACUGCCUUCGAUACUGAGAGUCUCGAGUCCGAGAGAGGUGAGUGGAACUGCGAGUGUAGAGGUGAAAUUCGUAGAUAUUCGCAAGAACACCAGUGGCGAAGGCGGCUCACUGGCUCGGUACUGACGCUGAGGAGCGAAAGCGUGGGGAGCGAACAGG
rnacentral:rRNA from 1 species